AAGCGUUAUCCGGAUUUAUUGGGUUUAAAGGGUGCGUAGGCGGCCUGUUAAGUCAGAGGUGAAAGGCGGUAGCUUAACUAUCGGAGUGCCUUUGAUACUGACGGGCUUGAAUGCAGCUGAGGUAGGCGGAAUGUGACAAGUAGCGGUGAAAUGCAUAGAUAUGUCACAGAACACCGAUUGCGAAGGCAGCUUACUAAAGUGCGAUUGACGCUGAGGCACGAAAGCGUGGGGAUCAAACAGG
rnacentral:rRNA from 1 species